UGAUAAUGAUAAUGAUAAUGUUUUAUUGAUGUUAUAAAUACAAAGUAUCUUACAUACGUCACCAAGAAAAGAAGAGAAAACAAGAAAAUACACUUUAACCGUUUACAAAAGCAGAUAAUAAUAAUUAUAUAAGAAAACUUAGUUAAGAUGACAUUUUACAAAAAUAAUUACUGAAUUCAUCAACAGAGUAAAAUGCCUCUUGUAGCAGGAAAGAUUUAACACAGUUUUUAAAAGCCUUGAACUCGAGGUUUUUAUAGGUGUCAGUACGUGAUAAUCGCAGAAAAUUUGGUCUGAGUAAAUGCCGGAAUCUGGUGGAGUAUGUAUGAUCAAACGAAUCAUAUUUGUUUAAGUUUUGAUGAGUAUAUAGAAGACAUUGCAAAAUAUAAGUGCAGGGAACCGUUAAAAUUUUGAAGUUUCUGAAAUAUUGACGACAGUCACUCUGAUAGUGACAGCCAGCAAUAAUUCUGAUACAUUUUCUUUGUAUUUUGAAUAAUUUAGCUGUAUGUGGCGAAUGACCCCAAGCAAGGAUGGCAUAUGAAAGAACACUGUGAAAUAUGGCAUGAUAAACUGAUAAUAAAGUUUUAGUCGAUAAGGUAGAUACCAACUGCCUAAACAAGAACAAUUUUUUAGAAAGUUUAGUAACUAAGUAGUCGCAAUGAGUUUCCCAAGUCAAUCCACAAUCCAGAAAAACACCUAACAGCUUAAUAUAAGAAGGGGUAAUAAAUGAUUUGUUUAAGGAAAAAAUAAUUUCUUGAGUUUUGGCACAAUUAACG